rnacentral:snRNA from 1 species
AUACUUACCUGGCACAGGAGAUACAGUGAUCAAUAACGCUGUUCUCCCACAGGAGGUACCAUGAUCAGCAAGGUCUCCCAGGUCGAGGCAGCGUUUUAGGCCUCUGUUUCCACUGCUUAAUCUAUAUCUAUUGGAAGUAUUUUUUCUUU